GGUGACCCCCUGCAGCCUUCUGCAAUGGCUGCAGUUUCUUGCCUAGUGGCACAAGGCUUUUUUAUUUUUUAUUUUUCUUUUUCAAUAUGCAUACACACACAGUCACAUACAUAUAAUCAAGCAAGAAUUUUGAAUAUUUUAAGUAACUGUUUGAUUCAUUUUGUUGAUCCUCGGAUAUCAUUCCAUACUUCAGAUUCAAUCUGGGAAGGGUAACCCCAAUCUAAGGAAAGUAUCGGAGCCGUCAAAAUCUUGAGCAGGAUCUGCUGAGCUACUGGUAUUGGUUAACAUAGAAUCUGAUGACCCUACUGACACAUUCAUCAUUUGCUUCUUUAGUCGCUCGUUCUCUUCCAUCAAUUGAGCCUCCUUGUUUUUGAGGGCAUUUAUUUCAUUUGCAAUUGCAUCACCCUUUGUUUCCAUGACUCGCUUCAAGCCUCUUUCAACUGAUUUCUCUAAUUGUUGAAGUUCUUCAAUGCUCAAUCCUUGGAGUUCUUCUCCCCUCAUCUGCCUCAGUUCACGGGUCUUCUCUUCUACUUCCUUGCUCAGUGCAGCAGACGUACCAUCUUUAAGCUGCAGCUCAAGAGAAGGUUGAUCUAACUUGCCAAUGUUCUUUGGAUGCAAAUUGUGUCUUUCAAUCACUUGAGUCAUACUUGAGCUAGCAUACUCAAAGAGCUUCCCAGUUGCAGAAAAGACAAUGAGUGCAAUCUCAGCAUCACAAAGAGUAGAGAG
rnacentral:misc_RNA from 1 species